rnacentral:rRNA from 1 species
AGUGAGGAAUAUUGCACAAUGGGGGAAACCCUGAUGCAGCAACGCCGCGUGGAGGAUGACGCAUUUCGGUGUGUAAACUCCUUUUAUAUGUCAAGAAAAUGACGGUAGCAUAUGAAUAAGCACCGGCUAACUCCGUGCCAGCAGCCGCGGUAAUACGGAGGGUGCAAGCGUUACUCGGAAUCACUGGGCGUAAAGGACGCGUAGGCGGGUUGGAAAGUCAGAUGUGAAAUCCUACAGCUUAACUGUAGAACUGCAUUUGAAACUUCUAAUCUAGAGUAUGGGAGGGGGAGAUGGAAUUAGUGGUGUAGGGGUAAAAUCCGUAGAUAUCACUAGGAAUACCGAAAGCGAAGGCGAUCUCCUGGAACAUAACUGACGCUAAGGCGUGAAAGCGUGGGGAGCAAACAGGAUUAGAUACCCUGGUAGUCCACGCCCUAAACGAUGAACACUAGUCGUCGGGAUGCUAGUCAUCUCGGUGAUGCACUUAACAGAUUAAGUGUUCCGCCUGGGGAGUACGGUCGCAAGAUUAAAACUCAAAGGAAUAGACGGGGACCCGCACAAGUGGUGGAGCAUGUGGUUUAAUUCGAAGAUACGCGAAGAACCUUACCUAGCCUUGACAUUGAUUGAACACACUAGAGAUAGAGUGGUGCCCUUCGGGGAACAUGAAAACAGGUGCUGCACGGCUGUCGUCAGCUCGUGUCGUGAGAUGUUGGGUUAAGUCCCGCAACGAGCGCAACCCUCGUCCUUAGUUGCUAGCAGUUCGGCUGAGCACUCUAAGGAGACUGCCUUCGUAAGGAGGAGGAAGGUGAGGACGACGUCAAGUCAUCAUGGCCCUUAUGGCUAGGGCUACACACGUGCUACAAUGGGGCGUACAGAGUGUUGCGAUACCGCGAGGUGGAGCUAAUCACUUAAAGCGUCUCUCAGUUCGGAUUGGAGUCUGCAACUCGACUCCAUGAAGCUGGAAUCACUAGUAAUCGUAGAUAAGCAAUGCUACGGUGAAUACGU